CCCCAAAAUUGUCUGUGCUUCCAUUAAGAGAAUUUAUUUUUCAUAAUUUCAAUUUGCGCAAUUCUGCAGCCACUGCCAUUACGGUAAAAGCGGGAAGUUGGACUGUUGCUCUGGUUUUAAAGCCGUCGGGUUGUUUCCAACCAAACUAAGCAGAAAUCCAUUUAGAAGAAGAUUUGCUCUGAUUCUGUCUGUUGCUGAUUGAUUAUGAAUAAAUUAUCAAGAUUACCCGGAAACAAACCACUAAACAACCCGUUAGCUAAAUUUAAGCUAAUGUUAAUGCUAACUAGCCUCCAGGCGGGUUAGCUAAAUUUAAGCUAAUGUUAAUGCUAACUAGCCUCCAGGUGGGUUAGCUAAAUUUAAGCUAAUGCUAACUAGCCUCCAGGCGGGUUCGGAGCUCUGACUGAGGUCAGCGGGUUAGUGGCAGCUGAGCCCGUCCAGAUUCUGUCCGAAUUCCUUUAACGUGACAUAAUGCUGAACUCUGGACUCAAAAGAAGCUUCAUCUGGAUCUCCAAUCCUGCCAAACGACUGAGAGCAGCGGUGAAGUAGCACUUGAGGACCUCGACCACACACCCUGCCCUCUGUCGGGAAACCUCCAAAAGCCGCUUUUCUUGCGCCUCUUCCACCAUUUUCAGGUUUUUUCCCCCCCUAAUCUCCUGAUCAAAUGUGCCAAACGCUCCCCAAAGGAUCCAAAAGGAUGAAAAUCAGCGAAGAGAAUGGCGUCAUUAGGAGGCCUUUGGUUUGCAGAGGAGCCGCAUUGUUUGAGCUGCUGAACGUUUGAGAAGAUGAACGGAAUUCCAGCGACGAGACAUGAGCUUCAAGUGCUGUUAUAAAAGAUUAAUGCAAAGUCGGCCGGCCCUCCUGGCUGGGAGCUGCGGCCGACUGACCAGUGCCAUAUGGACUCCUUUAUGCACGCACGCUGACCAGGACACACACUGGUGGCUCCAGGACAGCACUCUUUAACCCGUUUAACACGCUGCGACAAAAGAUGUGCACCGUCCUUCCUCCUUCCUUCCUCCUCCUCCUCCCUCUCUGCCCAGCUGAAUACCCACUAAUGCUCUGUGUGGCAUCUCAACACUCACACCGACCCUGGAAACAGAAACCAGGAGCUGCAGGACGAGGGACCGGGACAGAGCGUCGAAACGUCCUGAUUGUCCUAAAAGAGACCAAACAAAAUGAAGGCAACAAAAUCCAACUGAUUUAACCACACUGCAAAAACACACAGCUUUACCAAGUAGCACCAGAUUGUGGCUGUGGUAACAAAACAAUCGAACUUGCGGUUGCUGACCAGCAUCAUACCUGCUGGGAAAGGCCAUGGUAACUGGAGGAGCUGCAGAGAUUCACAACUCAGACUUUUGUUCCUCCGUUGGGGAUUUGAACCCCAGACGCCUCCCAUCCUAAUCUCCGUCCGGUUGGUGUCUCUGACUCACUGUUUCUCUGAAGAUUAUCACCUCACAUUAAAUGUUUUGCAUCUA